CCUCCAUUUGCAUAUGCAAAUCGAGGCCACGCCUCCCCCGUCGGCCUGAAGGCUUUAUAGGGUUCGUUGGGCGCUCAUUAGUGCUUAAUUAGAGCAGCAGUUAAUUGCAGGUUUAAUUGGAGCCCGGCUAAUGACUAGCAGGCUUAAUUAGCAGGUGAAGAUGCAGAAGGGAGAGAUAUUAAGAAUACUGAGGAUGUAAUUAAUGAAAUGAGAAGGAAUUAACGGUCUUUCAUCGAUAUUUAAUGCACUUAAUUAACGCUUCAUUAAAGAGCUUUGAGUCAUUAAGUGUAAUUAAUAAAAAAAAAUCAUCACGGAGCAACAAUUAGCUCUUACCAAUCAUUAAAAAAUUAACCACUUAGUUAUUAAAGCCGCCGACAUCAAAGUAUUAAUUUUAAUUAAUAAUUAAUAAUUAAUAAUUAAUUAAUACUUAAUUAACGUUAAUUAACUAAUUGCCAGUCUGCUCAGCUGUGGAAGUAAUUACACACUCAAUUAAAGCUGCGCUAAUUAUAAGUUUAUUCAGUUAUAAGGGGCAUUAAUUAGACAGCGUUUAAUGAAAAGAAGUUCAGUCGUAUUAAUCGCAUUAUUAAUUAAUAGACUGUUAAUGAGCACAUUUUGUUAAGAAAUGGGAAAAGAAAUAAGAAGUAGAAAUAAUUAAUUGCCGAACAUUUAGUUUUUAAUUGGAAGUUAAUUAGACGCGAGGUAUUAAUUGACUUUCUUCGGGAACGAGUUAAUUCCUAUCACUGCAAUUAAAAGAAUUCCGUUAAUUAAUUAUUACUACAUUAUUUAUUUCCUCAUAGGCUUUAUUGCGAUGACUGGGAACGUAAUUAAUCCUAAAUGAGCCCAAUUAUGUAUUUGUGAUGGAUAAUUGUAAUCAUCAGUCGCUAUUAAUUAGUAAAGGAAUGAGAAGAAUAUAAUCGCUAAUAAAGAAAUAAUAAUACUAAAAGCACUUAAUAAUAAAUACUACUAAUUCUGAAAAAUUACUAAUAAUUCUAAUUAAUUUCUAAUCAUUAGAAGACCGAACGACAAAUAAAUUAAUUAGAAAUCAGAUUGAGGAUAAACGCAUUAAAUUGAUAACAAUUAAUAAUACUUAAAAGCACUUAAUAAUUAAUAGUCUUAAUUCUAAACAAUUACCAAAAAUUCGAAUUAAUUCCUAAUUAUUAAAUGAUCGAAUGAUAAAUACAAUUAAUUCUGAAAUUAAUUAGAGAAAAAAAAAUAAGGAUCAGCACGUUGAAUUGGUAAUAAUACUAAAAGCACUUAAUAAUUAAUACUCUUAAAUAUAAACAGUUACUCAUAAUUCUAAUUAACUUUUAAUUAUUAAAAGACCGAACGACGAAUGCAAUUAAUUCUGAAAUUAAUUAGACAAUAAAUUAAGGAUAAGCAAAUUAAAUUGAUAAUAAUUAAUAAUACUUAAAACACUUAAUAAUUAAUACUAUUAAUUCCAGGAAAUUACUAAUAAUUCUAAUUAUUUUCUAAUUAUUAAAAGACUGAACGAUAACUGCAAUUAAUUUCCGAGCAAUGAGAUGACUCAGUUAAUUACCGAUAAUUACUCAUCACUGAACAAAGCAAUUUUUACCCCCAAAACGCGGUUUUUUUUCUUAAUAACUGUAAAUCAUCGUUACCAAAAUAUCGCUUUUUCACCCCAAACGUCAGAGGGGGGGAAAUAAUCAUUAAGGAGCCAUUAAUGAGGAGAGGAAAAACGUUAUUUGGCUUUAAUUAAAAGCUUUGUGGGGAGGGAAGUGAAGAAAAGGGCGGAAAUGAGAUCAAAAGCGCAGUAAAAAAAGCGCAUUUCGGGAUUAAUUAAUGGUCGGAAGAAUCGCUAUUAAUUAAGCCGGAGCUCUCAAUAACCGUAAUUAUUAAUGUUAAUAUUCUUAUUAUUUGGUCGAUUCGUUUUCGGUGUCGUUAUUUUGAGUGAGGGAAGUAUUUGGGGUUUUAAUUUUUUUUAUUAAUAUUUAUUUAUUAAUUCAAUUAAAUUAAUUAAAAUUAUAAUUAUUGCUAUUAUAAGCAUUAUUACUUAGUAUUGACUUCUAUUAAGUAUUAAUUACCGUUUCUAUUCUGUAUUUCUAUUAAGUAUUAAUUACUGUUAGUACUACCAUUGAUUACAACCGGCAUUACUGUUGUUAAUUAAUUGUUGUUAGCUAUUGUUUAAUUAUUGUUUAAUUAUUGUUAAGAACAUUAAAAAUAUCUCUAAUAUUAACGGCUUAUUAGAAAGGAUAAGUAAUUACGGAUUAAUAAUUAAUACCAGCGUAAGAUAUAAUUGUAUAUGUGGAUAUAAUUGUAAAUGUGUAAUAGUAAUUAAAAUUAAUUGAGUGUAAUUGUAAUUAGUGCAAAGAUAUUAAUGAUUAAUAGGCGUUUAUUACUGUUAUUGCAGUGCUAUUAUCAUUAACAUCGUCACGGAGGAAGAUUAAUAAUUAAUAAUUAUUAAGGAUGUCAACCAUUUAAUUAUUUAAUUACUGCUAUAACAGAACUGUUCAUUAAUCCAAUUAAUUAACCAAUAAAUUGUAAUCAAUUAAUGUCACUGCUGAUUACCAAUGAUAUCACGGAGUAAAAGGAGCGCACAAAGGGAAUUAAUGGCAAUUAAUAAUAACUAAUCGAUGGGAAAUUAAUUAACUUAAAAUUAUUUAAUUAAAAAAAUAAUUGAUUUAUUAUCAAUUAUUAUCGAUUAAUUAAUAAAGAAUUGCAUUUUGUUGCUGUUGUGGUCGUUGUUGUUAUUAAGCAUCCUAACCGGGAUUGGGUUAAUUAGAAUUAUUAGAAGUUAUUAGUUCUAAUAAUAAAAAAUAAUAAUAUUAGUUAAUAGCUAAACAAAUAAUUAGUUAAUAAUAUAGCUAAUAUUGUUAGAUAUACUAUUAGAAAUAUUAAUUAAUAGCCAUUAAUUAAUUAGCCAUUAUUAUAUCCAUAUUAUUAUUGUUGUUGUUAAUAUUGUCCUUAUUAUUAAUUUUAUAUAUAGGUAUAAUAUAUAAUAAUAUAACAUAUAAUGGAUGUGUAAUUAUCAUUAUUAAUUACAUAACAAUUAUAUUAUUGUUAAUAUAUUAUAUAAUAUACGAUAAUAUAAUUUUAUAUAGUAUACGAUAUUAUAUAAAUUAUUAUAUAUUAUACAUAAUAAUAUAAUAACACAUAAUAAUAUAAUAUAUAAUAGUAUAAAUAUAACAUAAUAAUAUAUAUAAUAUAAUAUAUAAUAUACAAUAUAUAUAAUAUAAUAUAUAAUAUAUGAUAUA
ensembl:lncRNA